AAACGCUGCAGUACAGACAUUUCGGUAUAAAGUUCCAGUACUGCGUAAAGUGCUCCUCUGGACACGGCGUGCACACGGUGUCUCGAGUUGGUGUGCAGUGCGCGCUCAUAUGCGUCCCAGGUGGACAGCGAGUGCACGUGGAGAAGCUGCAGGAUGUAUCGUUGUGAAGGACAGGAGCGGACCACAGUUCGUACGUCCUCCUCGCUCACCUUUUCUCCAGAGACGGAGCAGGUGCAGCGUCUGAUGCUGAGGACUGCAGCUUUUCUUCAGCCGCUCAACGUUCUUCCAGUCCACCUUACGUCCUGGAAGACUCUCGGAGAGACGUUCCACGGAGAUUGAGGCCAACGGAGGAGAC